CAACGGACUUAGGCCAUUGAGUGCGCGCGGGGAAACCUGCGAUGUAGAACUGCUCAAAGUCGGGGAAACCUUUGAAAUGGCAAUCCCGAGCCAAGCCCGAAAGCCCCGCUUUCGGGAAGGUGUAGAGACUAGACGGGCAGCACCUAACCCCCGCCAGCCGGGGCAUGGUGAAGGGAUAGUCCAGACCACAAACGCCCAUCCGGG
rnacentral:ncRNA from 1 species